AUAUAGUGUGAAAAACAAACUGAGGGCAAGAUGAAGACUGAUGACAAUGGAAAAGAAACAAUAUACCAGUUAAUGUGUCACCUUACUAAUUGAGCCAUUCUAUAAAUGUCUAUGAAGCCAAUAAUAAAACAUUCAGUUAUUUAAGACAUUUGCUAAUUAUAUAAAGGACUAAAAUUUAUGAUUACCAAAAUAUUGCUCCAUUGUGAUCUUGUAACCAAAUAAUGGCACAUGUAUAUAUAUUCAAACUAUCAAAAAAUUCUUAUAGAUACAGUAUAAUAGUCCUUUAACAGUUUAUUUCCUUAUCUUCAGCAGGUAGCAGUUUUACUGAUUGAGCUACAUUACGAUUAAAGACUAUUUUUCAGUUUAAUAAGAUAACUACGGGGGGAGCUUUCACUGACCUUUGAAAAUACUAAAAGCGCAAUAAUGAAAUGCUUUUUUCUUAGUAAAAAAAUACCAGUUUUCUCCCUAAAUUACAAAUAAAUGAAAUGUCAAACUUUGAGCAAUAGUAGAGUGGAACUUACCUCCAAGGGGAGGUGGGGGGGUGGGAGGAGACUAACUCUCAAGUGAAAUGAAAGAGCUAAGUUUGAACUAAGCGUUUCCAAAGAAUUUGGUAUAUGAGGUACAACUAAGAGAGAAUCCACCUCAUAAUUAACUAAAGCCCGCAACUCUAAGCUGAUAAAAUACUUUCCUAGAUAAAGCUGAAGUCUUCUCUGUUGAGAGGCAAUUUAUAACAACUUAGAGGACUAAUGUAUCUAGUGCAAAAACCACUUUUGUAUUGGAAUCUAUAUACUAUCGCCAGCAUGCCUCAAAAGGCAUUAGAUUUUAUAACACUGAAAUGUAAGGGUAACUAAAAAUGAGAAUCUAGUGCAGAAAAAUCACUAUUUUUGGAGUAUGUGUCAGCAGUCUAUUCGUAAUGCCACACCUUUGCAUUCAGUAUUAAUCACUGAGAAAAUGCACAAAGAUACUGCCAGGGAAGAUCUGAAGGUAACGACUAGAGAAAGUUUAGGGAUGUUUAAAAAAAGAAAUAUGGUAUGCCAAAUCUACAUAUUCAGUUGCAAACCAUGGUUUCCAAGAUAUAUAUUAUUUGUCAUUAUUGUUUUCUAAAUCUGUAUGCUCUUUCUCAAAGUAUUAAAUUAUGACAAAUCUUAGUUGUUUGAAAAGGAACCUAAUUUUUAGUGAAAAAGCCUGAAGUCAUCUGAAACUAAGAUAGGUAAAUAAGGUAGAGAAAUGGUCAAUUAAGUUUCUGGUUUAAAAAAAUGAAAUGAAACCUACAAAAUAGAUGCUGUGGAGUGAAUUUAAGGCCAGCAGCAUCCUAAAGCAAAAAACCAGUCUCUAGAGGAGACUUUCUGCUAGCAGGCACCAUGGUGCAAGGCUCUGCCACAGGACUCCUCCUUAGGGCCCUCAUUAACUACAGGUGACCCCCCACCACCCCCAAGGAACUCCUCAAGCCGCCCAGAAGUCUUAGAUAUGUGCCCUCAUUUUUAUGUGUUCUUUAAAGCAAAAUCCCAGAGACCUUAGAAUCUGAAUGCAUCUUAAAAACUUUACAGCUCCUACAUUACCUCAUGUUGGCUGAACGGAUCCCUAAGAUAACUUUUACAACUACUCUUAAAUAAGCAGUACUUUCCUAUGUGGACAAACAGUUCUGUUGUAAUCUUCCUUAUACUACUGAUUUAAGUAAUAAGUUCCUUUGGGUAACUUUCUAUUUUCAAUUUAUUCUCUCUGUAGAUUUAGUUUUCCAAUAAAAACAAAGCAUGAAUCCUAGCAAAGAGGAAAUCUCAAAAGGAUAGCAACUCUGGGGACAAGGUCUAUAUCAUUAAACAGUGUAAAUGAUAUAUAAGACCAAGAAAUUGAUGACUGCAUAUGGUACAACUGAACCAAGAAGCCAAAAUAUUGUCAGUGGAGCACAAUGCUAACCUAGGAAAACAAGCUUUACUCCUGGCUCACUUACAGACUUGCUGCAUUUUCAUUUUUAACCCGUGUGGAGCUUAUUUUAAUAAGUAAAACAUGCCACCUGCCAUCCACAAUUUCAAAAGUAAAACUGAAAAUCACAAGAAUGCAAAAAACUACACAAAAGGACUAACAUAUUAGACAAUUAAGCUUGGUUCUACUCCCAAACCCGACAUUGCAUUAAGCUACUGCAUUUAGUUACUUAGUGCAGUUUUAUUCUGGAGGAGGAACAUUUUGUAGGAUUCAAAAAGGGGAUGCUGAAAGACUACUAUGAGGUAGACUGCUAUAAAAUCCUACAGAUUAAUUUCACGGUAGACCGGACAACUUUGUUUAGCACCAAGCUGUUUUAAUUUCCUCAUAAACUUAACGUAACUUUUCUUCUUCUAAAAAAAGUUAAUCAAGACUUUCUCCUCUCCAAAGAAACCCGAGUUGUUACAUCAACUGCUGCACCAUACUAUUAUAUUAAGGUACUAGAAUAUUUUUGAGGAAAGAGCAAAAAGAGAAAACUCUAGCAAUUCAACAGAAAGCUUUUUAAUGCUGUAAGACGACUUAGGAACAAAGUAAAUUUAAUAUACAUGUCCUAUUUAACUUCUUUUGCCGUCUAGAGGGUACAUGGAACUUUAACUUGAUCUAAACUCAAAGAAAGCAUGAAGACUAUGCGAAUGUUUACUUAAUUCUGAACUCAGGGCUACAGGAAGUCAGCUACUAAAGGGUAGUUACAUUAGGCGUAGAUAUUAAUAAACCAACUACAGCUAGUGACCCAGGAUUCAAUUACAACAUCAACCCUCAGAUUUCACCGUAUGGGCAAAUUACCAGUGGAGUCAAGAAUAAAUUCAUUCUGACCUACUGGCGGUUUAGAUCGGGUUGCAGAAUCCCAGAGAAUUGCCUUCGCCUAGCCCUAGAGCAUCAGGUACUAAGUACUGUACUAAUUUAGUGUCAGGACAUUUUAAAGCGCGAGGGAAACUCAAGGGUCGACUGCCCAAUUUAGCCAGCCCAUAAUCCCGAAUUCGGGAAUUUGUCACGUCACUUGAGAUCAGAGUGAAAUUAAGUUUUGAUCCCUUUGAGAUCUCUUAGCGCACAAAGUCAGACUAUCACACUGCAAGGGGAGGGCGACCCUGGCUCCAGAAAAACUACUUAGUGCGGAACUCGUGUAUUUUCCGCCCACUGUGGGGAGCCGCACAGGUCCGGUCCCGCAAGGAGCCGGGGCGCGAGUUUGGGGGCGCAGCGGGGCCCGGUGGGGGCAGCGAGCGCGCGUCCCCCCGCCCGCUCAGGCGGCGUCGAGGCGCGAGCAGCUCAGCCAGCCUUGCAGAGGGAGCUCUCGGCAGCUCUGGGGUCCCUCUGCUCGCAGCCGCAGCAGCGCCGCCUGCGCCACUCGGUGGAGACGGAGACCAGCGGCGACGACGCGCGGACUGGGAGCGACCGCUGAGCAGCCAAGAAGGCUCGCAAGGCGGCCGGGGUGCAGCUGCGGACUCUGCCCAACCAGCGAUAAAGUUGACCGAGGACUGACUGGAUGUUCUGGAGGCUCCAGGAGGCGAGCCUUUGGUACUUUUGGGAAUCUGACUCAGGAUUGUAUUCUCAACUCCCUUAGAUAUCACGGAUAACAAACGGACCCAGCGUCAAGAGGACAGUUUCAACUCCAUUUGUUCCAUUAUGACAAUGCCGCCCCGAUAUUGACAGGUCUGGUUUUCUUGAAAAAGGCACUGGGGAUACAAAGACGACCCAAGAUGUGUUUCCUGCCCUUGAACUCAAAGUUUAACUGGUCAGACUUGUUAGAAAACAACAACAGAAAAUUAACACCCAAAUUGUUAUAAUGGGAAGAAAUGGACUCAUACAUAAAGGAGCAAAUCAUCUGCAGGAGUAUCCUGUUUAUUUGGGUAUUAACAAGCAAGGCGAAGGCAUGUAAGGUGAAGAGUCAUAAUCAAGGGCAUAAAAGGGCACAAAAGUAUUAGGGGGACAGUAAAUCAUCUCAUACCGUUGGACUAGAGUGUAGAGUAGUGAUGCUAAACCUUAUAAGACAUUGGGAAAGCUUUCAGUGUCAACUGCCAAGGCCAACCACUUUCUCCUAACUUUUUGAAGACCUGCCCUUCUACAUCAUCUCCUACUCAGACCAUAGGAAUUUUUUUCCUUAUUGAUGUAUACUUUCUUUAGACCCCUGUAAAAGCCAUAUUAAUUUUUUACCUCUCAGCUCAAAUUACUGCCUUCAAAAGUCUAAAGUACUUUGCCUAGAUCUAUAUCCCAUUUGGGGAAGUGAGUUAAUUUUAUUGUCUGUACUCUUAUCUGCAUUUUUCAGACACGCAUUGUUCAGCCUUUAAUAAUCCAUCUCAUUUUGCAAAACAGUUUUUCAUAUUUGCCCUUUUAAUUGAUGUUCACGGCUUUAUUUGAAGAGCUAGGCACAGUUUUUUCCCAAACUCAAGAAAUGAAUACUUACUCAGAGUUGUCCAAUAACUUUUUGGCAAAACCAGAAAGAGUGCUCAGAUCUUCCAGCCACACCCUCUCCCCUCUCUUGUCCUCUUCUUUCAUUGGCUGCUCAGAGGUUCUCACUCUGCCGGAUACAUUUCCAUUUUCCUAGCAAUCCUCUGAAGAUGAUUCUUUACCUCAGGGCUGCUUUGGAAGGGGAAGGGAAGGGAGGUCUAUCAGGCAGGCUCUGGGCCUUUCUGCUUCCCCAUUUCCCCCCACUUUUCCAAAUUGUGAUUUUUUUUUUUUUCAGGGAGAAAAAUGGUUUCUGCCCCUAAAACAAGUUUGACACUACUGCCUUAACCUAAAGGAAGGGCUUUAAUGAUGGAAAUUUCAGGCACUUGGAAGGCAGAUAGCAGAGACAUUUGGAGUGAUGACUUAAUCUACAAAUAUGUCCUGAAAAAUUGCUGAAGACCCAGGUCUAUGAUUGAGGCUAGGUAAUAAUGGAGAUAAAUGAUGACCCUAGUCCUCAAGUGCCUUAUAUUUUUUUUCUUAUAUUAGUCUGGGGAGGCCAGACUAUACUUCAUGAGUCAAGGAUGGAGAGAUACAUAAAAGGUAUGGGCUGCAGGUGUAGGAGGAACAGAUUGCUCACUGGACUCAGUCAUAUGAGUCUUUUCACGUAAAGAAAGGAUGACUCCCAAGUUCCUGCCUCUAGCUUACAGCUUUCUCUUCUUGCCCCAGAUCUUCAUAUCCAGCUUCUUUCUGGAUACUCCCUCCUGGAUUCCUCCCAGGCCACCCUUAUGAGCCUUGUCACUUUCCUUCUUACCUGCUUCUCGAGGGCUCCCCAUUUCGAUGAAAGAUACCACCAUCUAUCUAUUGCCCAGGCCAGAAACCUGGGCUUCAUUCUCUCAUCUUCAACAUCCUAUCAAUCACCAAAUUCUGUCUAGUCUGCCUUCAGAACAUCUCUUCACUCUAAUCUCCUCUCCAUCCCCACUGCAUCUACCCUGGCCCAGGCCCCUAUCAUUUCUUCUGAUCACAGCUUUAGACUCAUCACUGCUUCUUGCUUCCUCCCUCCAUAGAACUGCCUGAGUGACCUUUCCAAAGCACAGAUGUGAUCACCAAAUUCCCCUGC